GUUAAAAAGCUCGUAGUUGGAUUUCUGGUUGAAGCGACCGGUCGGGCGUUGAUUCGUCUGCACUGGAGUCGGUUUUGGCCAUCCUCUAGGAAAGUGCGUCUGGUAUUAAGUUGUCGGGCGUAUGAUCCUGGUCUUUUACUGUGAAAAAAUUAGAGUGUUUAAAGCAGGCCUUCGCCUUGAACAUAUUAGCAUGGAACAAUAAGAUAGGACUUUGGUCUAUUUUGUUGGUUUGCAGACCGAAGUAAUGAUUAAUAGGGAUAGUUGGGGGUAUUUAUAUUCCGAUGUCAGAGGUGAAAUUCUUAGAUUUUCGGAAGAUAAACUUAUGCGAAAGCAUAUACCAAGGAUGUUUUCAUUAAUCAAGAACGAAAGUUAGGGGAUCGAAGAUGAUUAGAUACCAUCGUAGUCUUAACCAUAAACUAUGCCGACUCAGGAUUGGUGGACGUUUAUUUAAUGACUCCAUCAGCACUGUAUGAGAAAUCAAAGUCUUUGGGUUCCGGGGGGAGUAUGGUCGCAAGGCUGAAACUUAAAGGAAUUGACGGAAGGACACCACCAGGAGUGGAGCCUGCGGCUUAAUUUGACUCAACACGGGAAAAACUUACC
rnacentral:rRNA from 1 species